GCCGGGCGCGGUGGCUCGCCCCUGUGAUCCCAGCAACUUGGGAGGCUGAGGCAGGAGGAUCACAAGUUGGACUGAGGUCAACUUGGCCAUUUAGCAAGACUUUGUCUCCA
rnacentral:sRNA from 1 species